rnacentral:tRNA from 1 species
AGCCUUGUAGUGUAAUGCACAUCAGAUUGCAAACCUGAGAGUAUAGAAUAAAACCUAUCUAGGCUU